rnacentral:rRNA from 1 species
GGGUUGUAAACUACUUUUGUACGGGAAGAAAUCUCUCUACGUGUAKAKAGUWGACGGUACCGUAAGAAUAAGCACCGGCWAACWCCGUGCCAGCAGCCGCGGUAAUACGGAGGGUGCAAGCGUUAKCCGGAAUCAUUGGGUYUAAAGGGUCCGUAGGCGGGCUAAUAAGUCAGUGGUGAAWWGCAGGGGCUUAACYMCGCACUGCCAUUGMUACUGUUAGUCUUGAAUUAUUGUGAARUGGUUAGAAUAUGUAGUGUAKCGGUGAAAURCUUAGAUAUUACAUAGAAUACMAAUUAGCGAAGGCAGRUACACUAACAUAAUAUAUUGACGCUGAUGGACGAARCGUGGGUAGCGAACAGGAUUAGAUACCCUGGUAGKCCACGCCGUAAACGAUGGUUACUAGCWGUUUGGUACAAUUGAGUACUGAGUGCAACGAAUGUGAUUUGUAACCC